AGGUGACGAUAAUGGAAUGAGCGGCGGACGGGUGAGUAACACGUAGGCAACCUGCCUGUAAGACUGGGAUAACUCGUGGAAACGCGAGCUAAUACCGGAUAACACUUUUCAUCUCCUGAUGAGAAGUUGAAAGGCGGCUUUUGCUGUCACUUACAGAUGGGCCUGCGGCGCAUUAGCUAGUUGGUAAGGUAACGGCUUACCAAGGCGACGAUGCGUAGCCGACCUGAGAGGGUGAUCGGCCACACUGGGACUGAGACACGGCCCAGACUCCUACGGGAGGCAGCAGUAGGGAAUCUUCCGCAAUGGACGAAAGUCUGACGGAGCAACGCCGCGUGAGUGAUGAAGGUUUUCGGAUCGUAAAACUCUGUUGUUAGGGAAGAACAAGUGCCAUAGUAACUGAUGGCACCUUGACGGUACCUAACCAGAAAGCCACGGCUAACUACGUGCCAGCAGCCGCGGUAAUACGUAGGUGGCAAGCGUUGUCCGGAAUUAUUGGGCGUAAAGCGCUCGCAGGCGGUUCUUUAAGUCUGAUGUGAAAUCUUACGGCUCAACCGUAAACGUGCAUUGGAAACUGGA
rnacentral:rRNA from 1 species